CCAUGCUCAUCAACGGGCUCCGCGGCGUCGACGACAUUUUCGCCUUCUUCUCCUUCGACUUUCUGAUGUUGCUGCUCGGUGGCAAAGCGAUCUGGAACAGAGAAAAAUAAAUGAAUGAAUUGGGGUGGAAAAGUGCAAGUAGUCGGCGUGUGUCACUGGUGUAAAAUUCAAGAGCCGACGGCGGUGGCGGUGGUGGUGGGGGACAAUCAAGGAAUGAAGAAGCAGAGAAGGGGGGACAAACAUGAAAUUGAAUGGUCCCCUGGGUGAAUUUGCGACACGCCAAAACUUAUCUUGUUUCUGCUUCUAUUCUCAACUAUUCCUGAAAA
ensembl:ncRNA F28E10.10 ncRNA